rnacentral:rRNA from 1 species
UACGGAGGGUGCAAGCGUUAUCCGGAUUCACUGGGUUUAAAGGGUGCGUAGGCGGGCCGGUAAGUCAGUGGUGAAAUCUCCGGGCUUAACCCGGAAACUGCCAUUGAUACUAUCAGUCUUGAAUACCGUGGAGGUAAGCGGAAUAUGUCAUGUAGCGGUGAAAUGCUUAGAUAUGACAUAGAACACCAAUUGCGAAGGCAGCUUACUACCCGAAUAUUGACACUGAGGCACGAAAGCGUGGGGAUCAAACAGG